rnacentral:rRNA from 1 species
GAUGAACGCUGGCGGCGCGCCUAACACAUGCAAGUCGAACGGCACCUAUCUUCGGAUAGAAGCGAGUGGCGAACGGCUGAGUAACACGUGGAGAACCUGCCCCCUCCCCCGGGAUAGCCGCCCGAAAGGACGGGUAAUACCGGAUACCCCGGGGUGCCGCAUGGCACCCCGGCUAAAGCCCCGACGGGAGGGGAUGGCUCCGCGGCCCAUCAGGUAGACGGCGGGGUGACGGCCCACCGUGCCGACAACGGGUAGCCGGGUUGAGAGACCGACCGGCCAGAUUGGGACUGAGACACGGCCCAGACUCCUACGGGAGGCAGCAGUGGGGAAUCUUGCGCAAUGGGGGGAACCCUGACGCAGCGACGCCGCGUGCGGGACGGAGGCCUUCGGGUCGUAAACCGCUUUCAGCAGGGAAGAGUCAAGACUGUACCUGCAGAAGAAGCCCCGGCUAACUACGUGCCAGCAGCCGCGGUAAUACGUAGGGGGCGAGCGUUAUCCGGAUUCAUUGGGCGUAAAGCGCGCGUAGGCGGCCCGGCAGGCCGGGGGUCGAAGCGGGGGGCUCAACCCCCCGAAGCCCCCGGAACCUCCGCGGCUUGGGCCCGGUAGGGGAGGGUGAACACCCGGUGUAGCGGUGGAAUGCGCAGAUAUCGGGUGGAACACCGGUGGCGAAGGCGGCCCUCUGGGCCGAGACCGACGCUGAGGCGCGAAAGCUGGGGGAGCGAACAGGAUUAGAUACCCUGGUAGUCCCAGCCGUAAACGAUGGACGCUAGGUGUGGGGGGACGAUCCCCCCGUGCCGCAGCCAACGCAUUAAGCGUCCCGCCUGGGGAGUACGGCCGCAAGGCUAAAACUCAAAGGAAUUGACGGGGGCCCGCACAAGCAGCGGAGCAUGUGGCUUAAUUCGAAGCAACGCGAAGAACCUUACCAGGGCUUGACAUAUGGGUGAAGCGGGGGAGACCCCGUGGCCGAGAGGAGCCCAUACAGGUGGUGCAUGGCUGUCGUCAGCUCGUGUCGUGAGAUGUUGGGUUAAGUCCCGCAACGAGCGCAACCCCCGCCGCGUGUUGCCAUCGGGUGAUGCCGGGAACCCACGCGGGACCGCCGCCGUCAAGGCGGAGGAGGGCGGGGACGACGUCAAGUCAUCAUGCCCCUUAUGCCCUGGGCUGCACACGUGCUACAAUGGCCGGUACAGAGGGAUGCCACCCCGCGAGGGGGAGCGGAUCCCGGAAAGCCGGCCCCAGUUCGGAUUGGGGGCUGCAACCCGCCCCCAUGAAGUCGGAGUUGCUAGUAAUCGCGGAUCAGCAUGCCGCGGUGAAUGCGUUCCCGGGCCU